rnacentral:rRNA from 1 species
CCUACGGGAGGCAGCAGUGAGGAAUAUUGGUCAAUGGGCGGAAGCCUGAACCAGCCAAGUAGCGUGCGGGAUGACGGCCCUACGGGUCGUAAACCGCUUUUGCACGGGGAUAACACCCUCCACUUGUGGAGGUCUGCAGGUACCGUGCGAAUAAGGGCCGGCUAAUUCCGUGCCAGCAGCCGCGGUAAUACGGAAGGACCGGGCGUUAUCCGGAUUCAUUGGGCUUAAAGGGAGCGUAGGCGGGCGUUCAAGUCGGCGGUAAAAUCGCGCGGCUCAACCGUGCCCCGCAGUUGAAACUGGAGGGCUUGAGUUCGCAGAAGGCAGGCGGAAUUCGUGGUGUAGCGGUGAAAUGCAUAGAUAUGACGAGGAACCCCGAUUGCGAAGGCAGCCUGCUGGGGCGGGACUGACGCUGAUGCUCGAAGGUGCGGGUAUCAAACAGGAUUAGAUACCCUUGUAGUC